GGGUCAGUAGGUUGGUCGUGCCACCGGUACGUACUGGUCUCACUGAUUCCUCCUUCCUGAAUAACCGUAAUGCCAUUAAUUUGGUGCUGCGGGGAAACAGGACUGUUACUUUGAAAAAAUUAGAGUGUUUAAAGCAAGCUAACGCUUGAAUACAUUAGCAUGGAAUAAUGAAAUAGGACGAUCGAUCCUAUUUUGUUGGUUUCUAGGAUUGACGUA
rnacentral:rRNA from 1 species